AAAUUAUAAACCAUUUAUAAUUUGCGACAAAUUCAAAUCAUAUUCAUAAAUCUUGAUCCAUCAACCGACCAUAACCACAUCUCUAUGCUUUGGCAACUAUGAACAAAUUUUUAUAUAGCCUACACACUCAUUCAGCCUUCAAGCAAGUAUAAUGAUUUCUCAUAUAUAGAUAUAUAGAUAGGCAUUUUUGUUUAGUCAAACUUUAAAACAUGAAAAGAGAUUAAUAAUAGAUAUUAUUAGCAAAACAGAUCAUAGCAAAGUUUGUUAAAACUGCAAACACAAAUCCAGAAAAAAAAAACCAAGCUUAGCAUUAAACAAAACAAUUCCAGUAAAGACAACUUCUUUAGCCACAUUUGGCACGCUUCACACCUUCCGAC
rnacentral:lncRNA from 1 species